UACGUAGGGUCCGAGCGUUGUCCGGAGUUACUGGGCGUAAAGCGCGCGCAGGUGGUUCCCUAAGCCUGGCGUGAAAGCCCCCGGCUCAACCGGGGAGGGUCGUCGGGGACUGGAGAACUUGAGGGCGGCAGGGGCUGGUGGAAUUCCCGGUGUAGUGGUGAAAUGCGUAGAGAUCGGGAGGAACACCCGUGGCGAAGGCGGCCAGCUGGGCCGACCCUGACACUGAGGCGCGAAGGCGUGGGGAGCGAACGGG
rnacentral:rRNA from 1 species